rnacentral:rRNA from 1 species
GAUGAACGCUGGCGGCGUGCCUAACACAUGCAAGUCGAGCGAACGGACGAGAAGCUUGCUUUUCUGAUGUUAGCGGCGGACGGGUGAGUAACACGUGGAUAACCUCACUAUAAGACUGGGAUAACUACGGGAAACUGGAGCUAAUACCGGAUGAUAUUUUGAACCUCAUGGUUCAACAGUGAAAGACGGUCUUGCUGACACUCAUAGAUGGAUCCGAGCUGCAUUAGCUAGUUGGUAAGUUAACGGCGUACCAAGGCAACGAUGCAUAGCCGACCUGAGAGGGUGAUCGGACACACCGGACCUAGGACGCGGACCAGACUCCUACGGGAGGCACCAGGAGGGAAUCUUCCGCAGUGGGCGAAAGCCUGACGAAGCAACACCGCGUGAAUGAUGAAGGUCUUCGGGUCGUAAAACUCUGUUAUGAGGGAGGAACAUAUGUGUAAGUAACAGUGCACGUCAUGACGGUAACUAAACAGGAAGCCACGGCUAACUACGUG